GAUGAACGCUGGCGGCGUGCCUAAUACAUGCAAGUCGAGCGAACGGACGAGAAGCUUGCUUCUCUGAUGUUAGCGGCGGACGGGUGAGUAACACGUGGAUAACCUACCUAUAAGACUGGGAUAACUUCGGGAAACCGGAGCUAAUACCGGAUAAUAUUUUGAACCGCAUGGUUCAAAAGUGAAAGACGGUCUUGCUGUCACUUAUAGAUGGAUCCGCGCUGCAUUAGCUAGUUGGUAAGGUAACGGCUUACCAAGGCAACGAUGCAUAGCCGACCUGAGAGGGUGAUCGGCCACACUGGAACUGGGACACGGUCCAGACUCCUACGGGAGGCAGCAGUAGGGAAUCUUCCGCAAUGGGCGAAAGCCUGACGGAGCAACGCCGCGUGAGUGAUGAAGGUCCUCGGAUCGUAAAACUCUGUUAUUAGGGAAGAACAUAUGUGUAAGUAACUGUGCACAUCUUGACGGUACCUAAUCAGAAAGCCACGGCUAACUACGUG
rnacentral:rRNA from 1 species